rnacentral:rRNA from 1 species
UACGUAGGGGGCAAGCGUUGUCCGGAAUUAUUGGGCGUAAAGAGCGCGUAGGCGGUCCGAUAAGUCGGCUGUGAAAGUCAGGGGCUCAACCCUUGAAAGCCGGCCGAUACUGUCGGACUAGAGUCCGGAAGAGGCAAGUGGAAUUCCCGGUGUAGCGGUGAAAUGCGCAGAUAUCGGGAGGAACACCUGUGGCGAAAGCGGCGCACUGGACCAUAACUGACGCUGAGGCGCGAAAGCUAGGGGAGCAAACAGG